rnacentral:tRNA from 1 species
GGGGAUGUAGCUCAGUGGUAGAGCACUUGCCUAGCAUGCACAAAGCUGUGGGUUCCAUGCCCAGCACUUCCC